UUAGUUAUGGUAGUUACUGUAUGAUUUUAUUUCAUGCGAUUAUAUUUAUGUUUCUUAUGUUUAGAUAAUUAUUUACGCUAUUUCUGCGGGAGUUACUAAUGCUCUAUUGUUAUUGUUUUUGUUUUUGUCUUUGUUUUUGUUUUACAGUUGUUUUUCCUUUUAUCCUAUGCGCCGAGGGUCGAUUGGAAACAGCCUCUCUGCC
rnacentral:lncRNA from 1 species